rnacentral:rRNA from 1 species
AUACGUAGGGGGCGAGCGUUGUCCGGAAUGAUUGGGCGUAAAGGGCGCGUAGGCGGCCCGGUAAGUCUGGAGUGAAAGUCCUGUUUUUAAGAUGGGACUUGCUUUGGAUACUGUCGGGCUUGAGUGCAGGAGAGGUAAGUGGAAUUCCCAGUGUAGCGGUGAAAUGCAUAGAGAUUGGGAGGAAAACCAGUGGCGAAGGCGACUUACUGGACUGUAACUGACGCUGAGGCGCGAAAGUGUGGAGAGCAAACAGGAUUAGAUACCCUGGUAGUCCACACUGUAAACGAUGAAUGCUAGGUGUAGGGGGUACCGACCCCUUCUGUGCCGCAGUCAACACAAUAAGCAUUCCGCCUGGGGAGUACGGCCGCAAGGUUGAAACUCAAAUGAAUUGACGGGG